GAUCAUGGCUCAGGAUGAACGCUGGCGGCAGGCUAAUACAUGCAAGUCGAACGGUAAGGCCGAGUGCAGCAAUGCAUGAGGUACACGAGUGGCGCACGGGUGCGUAACGCGUAUGCAACCUGCCCCUAACCGGGACAAAACAGCUGGAAACGGCUGCUAAUAUCCCAUAGUCACCCGGGAGGGCAUCCUCCUGUGUGUAAAGAUUCAUUGGUUAGGGAUGGGCAUGCGUAUUAUUAGGUAGUUGGCGGGGUAACGGCCCACCAAGCCGACGAUGAUUAGGGGUCCUGAGAGGGUUAACCCCCACACUGGAACUGAGACACGGUCCAGACUCCUACGGGAGGCAGCAGUAGGGAAUAUUGGGCAAUGGGAGGAAUCCUGACCCAGCCAUGCCGCGUGAAGGAAGACGGCCCUAUGGGUUGUAAACUUCUUUUGCCGCAGAGUAAACCCGGUCACGUGUGGCCGGUUGAGAGUAUGCGGCGAAUAAGUAUCGGCUAACUCCGUGCCAGCAGCGGC
rnacentral:rRNA from 1 species